UCCAUGAGCCUGGCUGAUGUGAGGGUGGAUGAUGUGUACAGGUGUGUUAGCUGAGUCCUGAAGCCUGGCUGAUGUGAGGGUGGAGGGUGUGUACAGGUGUGUUACCUGGGUCCAUGAGCCUGGCUGAUGUGAGGGUUGAUGAUGUGUACAGGUGUGUUAGCUGAGUCCUGUAGCCUAGCUGAAGUGAGGGUGGAGGGUGUGUACAGGUGUGUUACCUGAGUCCUGUAGCCUGGCUGAUGUGAGGGUUGAUGAUGUGUACAGGUGUGUUAGCUGAGUCCUGUAGCCUAGCUGAUGUGAGGGUGAAGGGUGUGUACAGGUGUGUUACCUGGGUCCUGUAGCCUGGCUGAAGUGAGGGUGGAGGGUGUGUACAGGUGUGUUACCUGAGUCCUGUAGCCUGGCUGAAGUGAGGGUGGAGGGUGUGUACAGGUGUGUUACCUGGGUCCUGUAGCCUGGCUGAAGUGAGGGUGGAGGGUGUAUACAGGUGUGUUACCUGGGUCCUGUAGCCUGGCUGAAGUGAGGGUGGAGGGUGUGUACAGGUGUGUUACCUGGGUCCUGUAGCCUGGCUGAAGUGAGGGUGGAGGGUGUGUACAGGUGUGUUACCUGGGUCCUGUAGCCUGGCUGAAGUGAGGGUGGAGGGUGUGUACAGGUGUGUUACCUGGGUCCUGUAGCCUGGCUGAAGUGAGGGUGGAGGGUGUGUACAGGUGUGUUACCUGGGUCCAUGAGCCUGGCUGAUGUGAGGGUGGAUGAUGUGUACAGGUGUGUUAGCUGAGUCCUGAAGCCUGGCUGAUGUGAGGGUGGAGGGUGUGUACAGGUGUGUUACCUGGGUCCAUGAGCCUGGCUGAUGUGAGGGUUGAUGAUGUGUACAGGUGUGUUACCUGGGUCCUGUAGCCUGGCUGAAGUGAGGGUGGAGGGUGUAUACAGGUGUGUUACCUGGGUCCUGUAGCCUGGCUGAAGUGAGGGUGGAGGGUGUGUACAGGUGUGUUACCUGGGUCCUGUAGCCUGGCUGAAGUGAGGGUGGAGGGUGUGUACAGGUGUGUUACCUGGGUCCUGUAGCCUGGCUGAAGUGAGGGUGGAGGGUGUGUACAGGUGUGUUACCUGGGUUCUGUAGCCUGUAGCCUGGCUGAUGUGAGGGUGAAGGGUGUGUACAGGUGUGUUACCUGAGUCCUGUAGCCUGGCUGAAGUGAGGGUGGAGGGUGUGUACAGGUGUGUUACCUGGGUCCUGUAGCCUGGCUGAAGUGAGGGUGGAGGGUGUGUACAGGUGUGUUACCUGGGUCCUGUAGCCUGGCUGAAGUGAGGGUGGAGGGUGUGUACAGGUGUGUUACCUGGGUCCUGUAGCCUGGCUGAAGUGAGGGUGGAGGGUGUGUACAGGUGUGUUACCUGGGUCCAUGAGCCUGGCUGAUGUGAGGGUGGAUGAUGUGUACAGGUGUGUUAGCUGAGUCCUGAAGCCUGGCUGAUGUGAGGGUGGAGGGUGUGUACAGGUGUGUUACCUGGGUCCAUGAGCCUGGCUGAUGUGAGGGUUGAUGAUGUGUACAGGUGUGUUACCUGAGUCCUGUAGCCUGGCUGAUGUGAGGGUUGAUGAUGUGUACA